GUGACCGGCCACAUUGGGACUGAGACACGGCCCAAACUCCUACGGGAGGCAGCAGUGGGGAAUAUUGGACAAUGGGGGAAACCCUGAUCCAGCGACGCCGCGUGAGUGAAGAAGUGUUUCGGCAUGUAAAGCUCUAUCAGCAGGGAAGAAAAUGACGGUACCUGACUAAGAAGCCCCGGCUAACUACGUGCCAGCAGCCGCGGUAAUACGUAGGGGGCAAGCGUUAUCCGGAUUUACUGGGUGUAAAGGGAGCGUAGACGGUUCUGCAAGUCUGGAGUGAAAGCCCGGGGCUCAACCCCGGGACUGCUUUGGAAACUGUGGAACUAGAGUGCAGGACAGGUAAGUGGAAUUCCUAGUGUAGCGGUGAAAUGCGUAGAUAUUAGGAGGAACACCAGUGGCGAAGGCGGCUUACUGGACUGUAACUGACGUUGAGGCUCGAAAGCGUGGGGAGCAAACAGGAUUAGAUACCCUGGU
rnacentral:rRNA from 2 species